UCCACCCAACCGUUGCCCCACACUUGGGGGAGGGGCCUCUUCAGUGGAGAGCCACCCCAUUUAGACACCGCCAAGUAAUCCAUGCUGCUGCUUACCACCCAAAUCAGAACAUAAAGGACCCUGGAGACUUCUGUAACCAAACUGAUGUAACUGGGACUUAAGGGUGCAGGAGCACGGGCUCCCGGAGUCCCAAACAGGGCUGCUGAGAAAAUCCAAAGGCAGAGAGACGAGUUGGUGGUGAAACAAGAAAGAAAUGUAUUUCAGUGAGGUCAACACAGGAAGACAGCGCGCUAGCAUCUCAAAGACAGUCUCCAAGGUGCACCCCCAGGUUUCCUUUGUGAUUAAUGCGGAGAGCAUAUAACUGGAUUUUGUGAUCCCCUUGCCAACGGCUUCACUUUUCGAAGUUUCAGUGACACAUGUUCAACUACUGCCCAUCAGCCAGCGAUCCUCCCUCUGACAUCAGGUCGGAAGAUCAGUCCUGGUGCUAGUUCGCAGUGCGCGCCUCACUCACCUCACAUCAGCCCGUCACAUAGUCGUGUCACCACCUCACAUCAUCACAAGGUGAAGAAGGGUGAGGACAGCACAGUAAGAUACCUUGAAAGACAGACAAUACGAAACUUUCAUUACAGCAUAUUGUUACAUUUGUUCUAUCUUAUUAUUAAUUACUGUUGCUAAUCCUUACUAUGACUAAUUUAUAAAUUAAACGUUACCUAGGUAUGCACACACAGGAAAACAAGUACACGUGGAGUCCAGUUGCUAUCUGGAGUUUCAGGCGCCCACCGCGGGGUAUCCUGCACGCCCCACAGGUCGGGUGGGACAACGGUGUUUAUCCAAUCUGAGAACCUUUUUCUUUUAAUUCCAUAGUUAAACUAUCUACAUUUACUGGAUUAUUAAAUUAUCUGAAUUUGUUUCUAC